GGGCUAAUGAUGAGAAAUUCAAUUAUCUUAGCGGAUUUCAGUGAGAUUUUUAAUCAAUGAUCUGAUUGUUACACACACUGAAGCUCUUAAUAAUAUUUUUAUAUGAAAUGGGAUGUUAAUAAUAAUUGCGGUGAUGAGGUAAAACACAUGAGGAUGUGUUUAGGGCAGUGGACAAAACGACUAAAACCGUUUUGCCGUGAUCCCCAAUUUAAACGACUUCUCCUUCCACUGAGCUUU
rnacentral:lncRNA from 1 species